rnacentral:lncRNA from 1 species
AGCAGAGAUUUGGUUCUACACAUUGCCUCAGAAAAAAGCCCUGAGAGAAAUGUCACCUAAAUACUAGAGAAACAUACAUGAAAACAAGAUUGAGGAAGCCCAUUUACAUGCUGAGUAUGAGGUACAGUGGGAGUGAGAUCCUCAACAAAGUGCAGUCAGUGUAAGGAAAGACUAACAAAGAGAUGGAUAGAUGAAGAGGCAUUUAAUAAAAGAAGUUAUAUAAGGCUUGUUCUGUGGAUU